CUCUGACGUAGAAGCUUCUUCUCCGUUUCUCCUUUUUCUUUCUUUUCUUGCUUACAUACACACAUUCCAUUUUAGUCUUUACACAUCUUUGAAAAAACUUCUUCAAUCGCAUUUCUCAUUCAUCACCAAAUCUAACUUUCACCAUCUUCUCUCUUUCUCUUCUUCCUUCUG